rnacentral:sRNA from 1 species
UGGAACCCGGACGAUGGGGGCAUGUUGC